rnacentral:sRNA from 1 species
CUGGAAACCGGACUUGCCAUCUCCUACGGAAGAAUUAGCCUCACCAUACUGAACAGUCAGCCCCUACCUGAAUUUCCAAAGUGUUGAGCCUGAAUUAGUAGCUUUCAGGAUAAUCACAUCUCAUGAGAGCUAAAUGAAAAACCAGACUUUUUAAAAGUCACCUUCAACAUCUGUACUGUAGUAUUCAAAAUAUUAGUUACGGAAGUGAUUGUGGAGCAUUUAAACAUUCGAUUGUGUUUGUUUAAACUUUGAAAUGAAGAUGAAUUCCAGAGUGGGAACAUGAAGUCUUUGGUGACGUGAACCAGCUGAGGGCAGUGCUGCCGCCUCUGCACUUGUUCAAGUGCCAGGGCUUGGCCUCCGGCCCGAGGGCAGGUGAGUUCCUGAGCCACUGUGGCUCACCCCGCCCUGCUCCGUCUGCGCUAGGUUGCAGCCCCACCCACGUCACGGUGUACAGCGAGUAUGGCGUGGACGUCUUUGAUGUGCGCACCAUGGAGUGGGUGCAGACCAUCGGCCUGCGGAGGAUAAGGCCCCUGAACUCUGAAGGCACCCUCAACCUCCUCAACUGCGAGCCUCCACGCUUGAUCUACUUCAAGAGCAAGUUCUCGGGAGCGGUUCUCAACGUGCCGGACACCUCCGACAACAGCAA